CAGUGAGCCUUCAUGGGUCACAGCAGGCACUACCCUUGAUGAGCAAAGGCAUGGACAGGCCAAGGCUCACACAGCACUCUCAUUCCAAACCCCUUCUCUUCUUCCUUAGCAAGUUUCCUGUUGAAAGAUAAACAUCCUGCCUGUGAUCAAAUGGAUUUCUCUUGAUUUACUUUCCUUUCCUCCCAGGCCUGCACCAGCCCAGACAGGUCAAAGAGCAGGAUUCCAAGCCAUUGAAAUGGUCUCUGGAGAAGCCUGGAAUUUCCCUGUGACACAAGUGUGGUAGAAGGUAGCAGGGUUGGUCUUCUGGCAGCCAGGACCAGGGGUUGCCAGCACCCUAGGAUCCCUUGCCACUUGCCAAGUGAGGGGCAGGCAGCCGUUCAGAUCUCAGGGGCUGGAGAGCAAAGCGGAAGGGAGGGCACAUACCUCACCCUCAUCCUCAGCCCUUCUCUGUCCUCCCAGAUGCUUCUAAGUGUGAGAUGUGAAGGAUGUGAAACGCUUGAAACGCAGGCCAUGCCAGGUGUGGAUGCUAACAGCGCUCCCUAGUACACACCCCGGACGCUGAGCUUCACCUUGGAGUCCACUUCCAAGCGAGCCUCCCCUCCAAGCCACAGCCUCAGAGGGCUCGCUAUGCGGUUGAGCCUCUCGUCUUCAGCAGUACCAUCUUCCUCACCCUCCCCACUGCGCAUCACUCACACUGCAUGCAGAGCUGGGCGUUAAGAACUCUGCAUGCAUCAUCCUGUUUCAUUCUCAGACCCACCCAGGAUCUCCGUCUCCCAGGUGAGGCUCAGAGUGGUUCCGCUGGAGGGUCAGGGCCUGUCUGAUGCCAAUAUUUUUCUAUCUACCAAGCUUCCCUUUUCUCACCCUCCCAUC
rnacentral:lncRNA from 1 species